ensembl:lncRNA
GAUGUCUGGAGAACAUCUUGUGGAAGAUGGAGACCCUCCCAAAUAUCUGAUCUCUCUUGAAAGGCCAGGUGGUCUAUUGAACAGAAUGGGGCUUGGGAGUCAGAUCCCCAGUUCCAUGUCCCACUCUAGGGGUGAUCUAGCUGUAUGAUCUUGGGAAGAUGUCUUGGUCUCAGAUGGUGCUGAACUAGAGUCUUUCUAGGCCUAUCUCCUGCCUUUUCUAAUGCCUUAAAAAGGAUGAAGGAAAAAACAAGUAAAACAAACAAAAGUUUCCGGCCACAGAUGCCUUGCCUUGUCCACUAGAGACUUCCUGAACUUCGGAUACUGCUUACCUGCCAGGUGCUCCCAACUCUACCAGACCUGGCUGGUCUCCCCAUCCUUCAUCACUCUCCUCCAACUUCCUAAUUCAAGACCUUCCUGCACUUGAAGGAUGCCACCCAGUUUAUGUCUGUCUCAGAGGAGGAGAGCAAGCUUCGGGGAACUCUGCCUGCAGAGAUGGACAAGCUCUGGAUCUGAAGGCAUUCCCUAAAGCAACACCAGCCCCUUGUUUUCUGCCGACCUGGCCUAUUUGGAGCAAAUUACUUACUGUUCUGUCUGUCCAGCUUGGAACUGAGAAGUCCAAAGGGAUGGAGAGAGACAGACAGGAAGGAUCCGUGUCAGGAGGCAGGCAAUUUAGAUGAACUCUUUUGCCUUGUUCUCUCUACCCUCACCCCCAUCCUAGCCCCAACAGAUAGCUAGCAGAGCCCUAGGUCCCUGCCCACUACCCCUAUUAAUGGAAGCCUAAUGUACUUGGGCAAAUCUCCCAGCUCUCCAAGUCAAUUUCCCUUAUGUAGACUAGAGAUAAAAUAUAAAACUGUCAUAAGACAAAUUGAGAGUAACAUGGAAGCAUAUACAUUACCAUAUGUAAACAGAUAGCCAGUGGGAAUUUGCUGUAUGAAGCAGGGAGCUCAAAUCUGAUGCUCUAUGACAACAUAGAGGGGUGGGGUGGGGUG